ensembl:lncRNA
CUGCACACACGGACACGCAGCCCACCAGCUGCAGAAGGCUGGAGCGGUCCCUCGGAUCCUCCAGCGAAGGCGGAUGAAGGCUGGAGCGGUCCCACGGACCCUCCAGCAGACGACGAAGGCUGAGGCGGUCCCUCCCUCGGACCCUCCAGCAACGGCAAACGGCUGAAGCGGCCCUCGGACCCCACAGUGACUGGACGAGCCCCCAUAUGUUACACCCCGGCCUAGGCAACCGGAGUGCAACACGAAAAAAAGUAAAAAUAAAGAAAAAACACACGAGAAAGAACUAAUACGGACCCUCCACAAAAUUAAUCCCAAAACGAGAUUUAAAGCAAAAUACCACAUUUAUUUACAUCACCAAACACAAGACGUCAAACUAUUUACAACGGGGGGAAGAUCGCGACCAUGACAUACAGAAACACAAGGCUUAAAUACAUAGAAGGAGCAAUCAGGGAAUGGACCACAGGAGGGAAACACAGCUGGGGCAAAUUAGACCUGACGAGACAAGGAAACGUAAACUGAACACACUAAGAUAACAGACCUUCAAAAUAAAACAGGAAACACAUGACAGUCACGCAAAAACAAAACACUGACAACACCGAAACGUAACACCAAGAAAAACAAAGGUGAGCAAAGUCUGCCAUCAUCUCCACUGAAUAUUGUUCAACAUGUUUAUCUGCUCUUACAAUGUAAAUCUGUUUAUUUUAAUAUUUAUAUUUAUGUAUUCACAAUCCAUCAGCUUUUAAAAAUCUACUAUUUUAUCUUUGCAUUAGUGGAGACAUCCAGUUUCCUCCUGGUUAAUGAUAUUAUUGUUUUCAAUGAUCUUCUCGUCAUUCACAGGAACAUCAAGUCCUGCAGCUGAUGCAGCAGUUUAUUCUGAAGUCACAUCAGGAAGCUCUCUCAGUCAGUGAGGAGAGCUGUAGCAGCAAAGCCAAGAAGAAGCUUUUUAUGAAGCCACUCUUGCUCCUCUGCUCCACAAAUAUCAGACAUGCUCAGCUUUAUGUGCAGUUACAAUAUUACAUCAUAAUAUCAUAUAGAGUUAGUACUCUCUUAUAGCAUAAAGCAUACUGUGUUCUAUAUAGUCAGCUGUUUUUAUAUUCUUAAAGCUUUCUGUAUAUAAAACUUAACUGAAUGUUUCCUGUUUCAACAUCAGUGAGAACAAAGUGUGAAAUAUGUGAUCUUUAGUAGCUGAUAGCACGAAUUUAAGUCAGCAGUGUUACAUUAAAAAGUACUGUUAUGGGCAGCAACACAUA